UUUUAUUCACAAAAAACAUGUACAAGAAACCCGCACAAGUACAUAGAAGCGAGAUGAUAGUAAAUAAAGAAGACAAAAAAGCAGAUAAGAAAAGGGUUGUAGUUUCAAGUUCCAUGGUAAGAAGUUAAGAACUAAGAAGUACCUAUAUAAUAUACAAUAUACAUAGAGACAUAUGUAUUAAUAUUCUAAUUAUAUUAUUAUAUCUAAGACUUGCCAACUAAUAUAGUUCUCUCUCCUCCCAAACCUAGUGGUGACCUUAAACCAUUUCUUGAGACAUCUCUAAUAAGGGCACGCCUCAUUUGUAGUUGUAGUGAUGGUUCUUUGAAUUUGGCUAUUUCUUGCUUAAUCUUUAACACUUGGCUAUGAACUGCAUGACCCAUAUUCCUUUCUGCACUAUGCUUCUUCAUGUUGUUGUUGCUCACCUUGGUGUUGUGCUCCAUAUUCUUCUAUUACCAAAAUAUGAUGGAGUCCUUGACACAGAACUAUUUCCCUUGAUGGGAAUAUGAGUGAUGGGUUAUGAUUUUCGCAAGAGCCUAUUGAAG
rnacentral:lncRNA from 1 species